CGUGCGGUGGCUCCGGAUCUUCGCGGUUUCGGCGACACCGACGCGCCGGCGGAUGGAACCAGCUAUACCAGUCUGCACGUGGUCGGCGACAUCAUCGGAGUGCUUGACGCCAUCGGAGCGGAUCGGGUGUUCGUGGUGGGGCACGACUGGGGAGCCGUGAUGGCUUGGUAUCUGUGCUUGUACCGGCCUGAUAGAGUGAAGGCUUUGGUGAAUAUGAGCGUCCCCUUUUCUCCUAGAAACCCUAUGCGGAAGCCUCUCGAGAGCCUUCGUGCUCAAUUGGGAGAUGACUACUAUAUUUGCAGAUUUCAGGUUCCUUUUCCUUUGUUUCCUGUAUCACUCUCGUCCUCCCUUUCGAAGAAAUUUUUUUUCAUAAACUUCUUAACCUAUUUUUUUUUUUUUUGUCCUUUUUUACUCUUUAUUUUCCUUCUCUCGAAUCUUCCCCCAAUCAAACAUUUUGAAAAAAGAUUGCAACUUUGCAAGAUUUAUGGGCUUCGAAUAUUUUUGGUUGAAGGAUGAUCAUAGUUUUAAUGACAAUAACAAUAAAACAUUUCCAUUUGUGUCCAGUAAAUAGAAACAGUGGGUACUUGAUGAUUAGGAGGGACGAUGGAUUUUGACAUGAAUGUAGAAUUAUUGUACGGCUUAAUCUGAUUAUACAACAGUAGUGAAUUAAUUCUAAUGGCUAGUUUAUGAGUCUAACUUACUCAUAUAGUAUUUUAGACAAAUCAUGUUAAAAGUAAGCCAAAUUUGUAAUCUAGAAAAAUGUGAAGUUGGUCAUGAUAUAACUCAUAUAGUAUUAGAAUUUUGUUUUCAAUAAUAUACACAUGUGAACUGAUUAUAAAUGGGGUGAACUGAUUAUUCUGGCAUUAUUAUGUUAGGAUGGAGUGAAGGCGUUGUAAAGUUAUUAUGGGAAAAAUAUUAUGACACCGAUUUGAUAUUCUACUUAAUAAAUACUCUAUCAACUACCUGACUGCUGUCCAACUUUUUCCUAUUUAGUAGCGUCAUUAUACAUAUGGGAGUACUUUAAAUGCUAUAUAGAGAAUCAGAGAUAAUAAUUCGUCUGCAUUAUCAGUAAGAAUAUAUACCAAACCCAAUUCCAGUUAGCUUUGCUUUUUCUUUUUUUUUUCUUUUUUCGAUGAUGCCAUGACGUGAUCUGCAGCAUAUGCCAUGUGACGUAAUCCAAGGUCAGCACUUCACCUGGGGUUUUAAGUUUUUGUUGAAAAUCUCUUUCUCAUCUUCUGUAAUGACCAUGGGACAAUGAUAUGAAUAGGGAGCGUAGCUAAUUGGUGAAGGUUUUUAUUGCAGGAGCCUGGGGUUAUAGAAACUGAGUUUGCUGAGAUUGGUGUUGAUAGAGUUCUCAAGCAUUUCCUCAC
rnacentral:lncRNA from 1 species